rnacentral:rRNA from 1 species
GACGAACGCUGGCGGCGUGCUUAACACAUGCAAGUCGAACGCUGAAGCUCAGCUUGCUGGGUGGAUGAGUGGCGAACGGGUGAGUAACACGUGAGUAACCUGCCCUCUUCUUUGGGAUAACGCCCGGAAACGGGUGCUAAUACUGGAUAUUCACUGAUUCUCGCAUGGGGGUUGGUGGAAAGGUUUUUUCUGGUGGGGGAUGGGCUCGCGGCCUAUCAGCUUGUUGGUGGGGUGAUGGCCUACCAAGGCUUUGACGGGUAGCCGGCCUGAGAGGGUGACCGGUCACAUUGGGACUGAAAUACGGGCCAGACUCCUACGGGAGGCAGCAGUGGGGAAUAUUGCACAAUGGGCGAAAGCCUGAUGCAGCGACGCCGCGUGAGAAAUGGAGGCCUUCGGGUUGUAAACCUCUUUCGCUCAUGGUCAAGCCGCAGCUUUGGGUUGUGGUGAGGGUAGUGGGUAAAGAAGCGCCGGCUAACUACGUG